rnacentral:siRNA from 1 species
AUCAUAACAGAAAGCAUAAACGUU